rnacentral:rRNA from 1 species
AUUGAACGCUGGCGGAAUGCUUUACACAUGCAAGUCGAAUGGCAGCACGGGGCAACCUGGUGGCGAGUGGCGAACGGGUGAGUAAUAUAUCGGAACGUGCCCAAUCGUGGGGGAUAACGUAGCGAAAGUUACGCUAAUACCGCAUACGAUCUACGGAUGAAAGCGGGGGAUCGCAAGACCUCGCGCGAAUGGAGCGGCCGAUAUCAGAUUAGGUAGUUGGUGGGGUAAAGGCUCACCAAGCCAACGAUCUGUAGCUGGUCUGAGAGGACGACCAGCCACACUGGAACUGAGACACGGUCCAGACUCCUACGGGAGGCAGCAGUGGGGAAUUUUGGACAAUGGGCGCAAGCCUGAUCCAGCCAUUCCGCGUGCAGGAUG